GCCAGACUCCUACGGGAGGCAGCAGUGAGGAAUAUUGGUCAAUGGGCGGGAGCCUGAACCAGCCAAGCCGCGUGAAGGAAGAAGGCGCCAGGCGUCGUAAACUUCUUUUGUCGGGGAACAAAGGGCGCCACGCGUGGCGUUGUGAGAGUACCCGAAGAAAAAGCAUCGGCUAACUCCGUGCCAGCAGCCGCGGUAAUACGGAGGAUGCGAGCGUUAUCCGGAUUUAUUGGGUUUAAAGGGUGCGCAGGCGGAGGUGCAAGUCAGCGGUCAAAUUGCGGGGCUCAACCCCGUACUGCCGUUGAAACUGCAUCCCUUGAGUGCGCGAGAAGUAUGCGGAAUGCGUGGUGUAGCGGUGAAAUGCAUAGAUAUCGCGCAGAACUCCGAUUGCGAAGGCAGCAUGCCGGCUCCACACUGACGCUGAGGCACGAAAGCGUGGGUAUCGAACAGGAUUAGAUACCCUGGUA
rnacentral:rRNA from 1 species